AUUUCUUGCGUAAACUAGGAUACUCCAUGCCAUCUAAAUGUUAGUGUUGUGCUGAUCCUAAGGAGGAGUCAUUACUACAUCUGUUCUUCACAUCCAAUGCAGCUAGAAGUGUUUGGACUUACUUCCUGAGGAGAGCAGGAAUUGCAUUAGAUGGGUUGUCAUUACAUCAAGCAAUUACAAAGUGUUGGACAGCACCAGUUGUACCUAGAUUGAAGCCCGUAUUACAAGCUUUACCUACAUGCAUUGUAUGGGAACUUUGGAAGAGCAGAAACAGUUUGAAAUAUGGAGAAGCAGUGUCAGUGAGCAGAGUUAUUUACCAGGUGUCGUCUACUGUGCAAGCACUGGUCCAACUGAAAAAGCCUGGACUACGUGUGCCUCAAAAGUGGCUGGACUUACUGACAAUGAU
rnacentral:lncRNA from 1 species